UACGUAGGGUGCGAGCGUUAAUCGGAAUUACUGGGCGUAAAGCGUGCGCAGGCGGUUUUGUAAGCCAGAUGUGAAAUCCCCGGGCUUAACCUGGGAAUGGCAUUUGGGACUGCAAGGCUUGAGUGCGGCAGAGGAGACUGGAAUUCCUGGUGUAGCAGUGAAAUGCGUAGAUAUCAGGAGGAAUACCGAUGACGAAGGCAGGUCUCUGGGCUGACACUGACGCUCAUGCACGAAAGCGUGGGGAGCAAACAGG
rnacentral:rRNA from 1 species